AUACGGAGGGUGCAAGCGUUACUCGGAAUCACUGGGCGUAAAGCGCGCGCAGGCGGCUUGAUAAGUUGGAUGUGAAAGCCUACGGCUCAACCGUAGAACUGCAUCCAAAACUGUCAGGCUAGAGUGUGGGAGAGGAAGAUGGAAUUAGUUGUGUAGGGGUAAAAUCCGUAGAGAUAACUAGGAAUACCAAAAGCGAAGGCAAUCUUCUGGAACACUACUGACGCUGAGGCGCGAAGGCGUGGGGAGCAAACAGGAUUAGAAACCCUAGUAGUCC
rnacentral:rRNA from 1 species